rnacentral:rRNA from 1 species
CAAUAGUGUAUAUUAAAGUUGUUGCGGUAAAAAAGCUCGUAGUUGGAUUUCUGUUGAGAGCGACCGGUCCAUACCAUGUAUGCGUAUCUGGCUUGCUCUCGGCAUCCUCUCGAUAGACGUUACUGCGCUUGAUUGCGUGGUGCGGAUCUCGGGACUUUUACUUUGAGGAAAUUAGAGUGUUCACGGCAGGCUUUCGCCAGAAUACAUUAGCAUGGAAUAAUACUAUAGGAUCAUGGUUCUAUUUUGUUGGUUUCUAGAAUUGAGAUAAUGAUUAAUAGGGACAAUUGGGGGCAUUCGUAUCAACACGUCAGAGGUGGAAUUCUUGGAUUGUGUUGCGACGAACUACUGCGAAAGCAUUUGCCAAGGAUGUUUUCAUUGA